rnacentral:tRNA from 1 species
GAGGGUAUAGCUCAAGUGGUAGAGCACAUGCUUUGUAUGUAUUAGGUUCUGGCUUCAAUCCCCGGUACCUACU